rnacentral:tRNA from 1 species
CGGAUGUAGCCAAGUGG